UCCUUUAGAUUUCUUAAGCUGAUUUAUUUUUUUCCCCUGAUAAAUCUCAGGCACUCCUGGAGCAUCAUCUGGAGCAACCCCUGAAGCUCAAGGUGAUAGCACACGUGGAGAGGCAGGGACUGCAACCACUGGUUCAGGUACCAUUGAACCAUCAGUUGACACAACAACCAGAGCCUCAAAGAAUGAAGCGACAUCACCUGAAGGGCAUUCAGCUUCUACUGGUACUUCAGUUUCCAUCACCUCCACAGCUAGAACUACAGGCACCACACCAGGACUGAGCUCCAGUUUCACCAGUCUUGGGGUCACAUCAGGUACUACUGGACCUUCAGUGGAUAAAACAACCAGAACCCCCAGCAGUGAAGUGACAUCACCUGAAGGGCACUCAGGCUCUACUGGAACUUCAGUUCCCAUCACCUCCACAGCUGGAAGUGCAGGAACCACAGCCCAAUCGAGCCCCAGCUUUACCAGUCCUGGGGACACAUCAGAGACAGCUGGAGUGUCACCAGGUGGGACUGCCACAACUAACAAUGGGAAUACAAGUGAGGCAGCCUUCCGAGAUGUUGGAACAGGAGGCCCUACUGCACCAACACCUAGCAAAGAGGAGGGCAGCACAUCCAGAGAACCCAGCACUGGAUCAACGAGCCCAGGAAGUUCAACAACGAGAGGAGGAACUGACACAGCCACCACUGUCUCUGCUGGUGAAAACACAUCUGGAAGGACAGUAACAACAGGAGGAAAAAAUAUAAUCUCCACUACUGCUGGUGACAACACUUCUGGAACAUCAGGUAGGCAAAAAGCAAUAUCAGCGUAAAUUCAGACAGAGGAAAUGUGGUUUC
rnacentral:lncRNA from 1 species